UGACGACCAUAGAGCGUUGGAACCACCUGAUCCCAUCCCGAACUCAGUAGUGAAACGACGCAUCGCCGAUGGUAGUGUGGGGCUUCCCCAUGUGAGAGUAGGUCAUCGUCAAGCU
rnacentral:rRNA from 3 species